AUCAAGUGUCUUAAGGGCAUUU
rnacentral:rRNA from 4 species